GAAUCGCGAGGCGUGAGCACUGUAGCAGUGUUUUGUUGUGAUAUUUUAUCACAUAUGAAAGGAAAUUACAAUGUAUUUUUCAUAACAUUGUUUUCAUAUACACUGUGGUAUUUCAUUCCAGCAUUCCGUGUUCAAUAAUUACGGAUAUUAGAGAUUUGGUAAAUGACUUAUUACCUUGUGGACUGCUCUAGUGGAGUCUGACUGUUGUGCUUCUACAAACUAUAAUAGACGUCCAACCAAGAUGAUAAUAUUCAACCAGCUUCAUUUAUUAAUCGUGGGAAUCCUCGGCGUUUAUCUCUUCGCACUUGUAAACUCAUCCGGUAAGUGUAAUUUUGAAUUUCUUGUGGCUUUCGAACAGUUGAGAUUUAAUUGACGGCUCGCGACAAUGCUCAAACGUCUGCUUGAUUGAAUAUUGUUGAUAAACAAUAUUGUGUGGAAGUUUUAAACUAUACCUAAGUUGAGAAACAACAGGAAUAAGUAGCUUG